AAAAAAACAAACUCUGAAUUUUUGUGUCCAACGUUUGACUGUCCGUCUUAUUUAAAAAAAUUAUGAAAAAAAUUAAAAAGACAAGUCACGCAUAAAGUAUUAAUCAUGUUUUAUCAUCUAACAACAAUGAAAAUACUAAUUAUAAAAAAAUUUAUAUAAGACGGACAGUCAAACGUUGGACACAGAAAUUCAGGGUUUGUCUUUUU
rnacentral:pre_miRNA from 1 species